UUGGAACCCUUCAAGGACUGAUGUAAGGUUGCAUGAAAUUGUGCCAAGACUGAUGGACUGUUCCAUGGAACAGUGCCAAGAUUGAUGAAACAUUCCAUGGAAUUGUGCCAAAACUGAUGGAACGUUCCAAAGACAGUUCCACGGAACUGUGCCAAGAUUGAUGAAACGUUCCAAGGACCAUUCCACAGACCGUUCCAUGUAUCAUUCCAUGGAACUGUCCCAGGACUGAUGGACCGUUCAAUGGAACGUUCCAUAUAACUUUGCCAAGAUUGAUGAAACCUUCCAUGGACCGUUCCAUUGACUAUUCCAUGGAACUAUCCCAGGAUUGAUGGAUUGUUCCAUGGAUCGUUCCGUGGAAUUGUCCCAGAACUGAUGGACCGUUCCAUGGAACUGUCUCAGGACUGAUGGAAUGUUCUAUGGAAUUGUGCUAGGACUUAUGGAACGUUCUAAGGACCGAUCUAUGAAAUGUUCCAUGGACUGUUCCUCAAAACAUUAUGUCAGACUUGGUGUAGUUCCAUUGACCGUUUCAGGGAAUGUUCCACAAUGCAUGUCAACGAUAUGAUGACCCUAUUGCUUACGUAGCUCAACUAUUCGAUGACAAUUACCAGUAUUGGUCUUGCAUGCUGGCUAAGCUGAGGAAGUUGAGCAUUAGUGCUGACCUAUGCUCGACUAUACGAUGAUGCUUCCCAGUAAUGCAUGAUGUCUAGUUGAGGCAAGUUGACGACAACGUUUGGAAGUUUGGAGACAUCGGCAGGGGCCUCGGGAAGAGUUAUCUUUUCUAUUUAACAGCUUGUCCACUUUGGAAAUGGCUCAGCCGGAGGUAGGGUCCCAUGGAUGGAAGAGCACCGCACGUUGCAUAGUGUCCUGUGCGCCCCCGACGACCCUUGAAAAUCCUAUUGACCGAGUGUCGAUCGCGCCCAAUCGUACUCAUAACUGCAUCAAGUCUCCAAGGUGAACAACCUCUGGUCGAUUAAACAAUGUAGGAAAAGAAGUCGGCAAAAUGGAUCUGUAACCUCGGGAAAAUGAUUGGCUCUGAGGACAAGGCUUGGAGGUCCUUGUCCUGAACUCGUCGGCUGUUGGUGGAUAGCUCGAGCUACUUCCGUGGUGAAAGAGGGUCACUGCGUGCCGACUGGGGGAUGAUUUGGGAAUGGUCUCUUUGGGGGCUUUCCCCGGCAUCGAACAAUCAAUUCAGAACUGGUUUGAACAAGGGGAAUUCGAUUGUUUAAUAAAACAAAGCAUUGCGAUGGUCCUUACGGAGGCUAACGCAAUGUGAUUCCUACCCAGUGCUUUGAAUGUCAGAGUGAAGAGUAACUAUGACUCUCUUAAGGUAGCCAAAUGCCUCGUAAUCUGAUUAGUGGCGCGCAUGAAUGGAUUAACGAGAUUCCCACUGUCCCUGUCUAUUAUCCAGUGAAACCACAUACAAGGAAACGGGCUUGGCAGAAUCAGCAGGGAAAUAAGACCCUGUUGAGCUAGAAUCUAGUUCGACUUUGUGAAAUGACUUGAAAGGUGUAGGAUAAACGAGAGGUGUUUGUAUCAAAAGUGAAGUACCACUACUUUUAACAUUAUUUUACUUAUUCCGUGAGUUGGAAGCGGAGCACUACCCCUGUUUUUGGAUCCAAGGGUCAUCUUGGUAGCUCGAUACGAGCGAAAGACAUUGUUAGGUGGGGAGUUUGGCUGGGGUUGCAUAUCUGUUAAAAGUUAACGAAGGUGUCCUAAGAUGAGCUCAACGAGAACAAAAAUCUCGUGUGGAACAAAAGGGUAAAAGCUCGUUUGAUUUUGAUUUCCAGUACGAAUACGAACCUUGAGCGUGCCUAUCAAUCCUUUAGACCUUUGGAAUUUGAAGCUAGAAGUGUCAGAAAAAGUUACCACAAGGUUAACUUGUAUGUGGCAGCCAAGCGUUCAUAGCGAUGUUGUUUUUUUAUCCUUCCAUGUUGGCUCUUCCUAUCAUUGUUCACCCACCAAUAAGGAACGUGAGCUGGGUUUAGACUGUUGUGAGACAGGUUAGUUUUACCCUACUGAUGAUAGUGUCACGAUAGUAAUCCAACCUAGUACGAGAGGAACUAUUGAUUAACACAAUUGGUUGAAAUUUCACCCAAAAUCAAAUAAAAAU
rnacentral:rRNA from 1 species